ensembl:lncRNA
ACAUUAGGGGUGGAAAGAAGACAGCGAGGGGUCUGGGCAGGGCACUGUCAGGAUUUGGGAGGUGCCCACAUGCAGGAUCCAGCCCCAUCUGCUUGGCUGAGAAUUUACAGCACUCAGACUGCUACAUCCCAGUGGAUCAUCGGAACUUUGGGAUCCCUGGGCUCAUCAUGGUACCCUGUGCUUACAUGAGGAGGGAAGAUGCUCAUAGGAGCCAGCACGUGAAGAUGUCUCACCUGAUUCUGGGCCACAACAGGACUGCAGCUGGGGUUUCCCUCCAGCUGUGUGGAAUUACACUUAGAGCUGGUCCACGAAGAGCCCACAAGCAGUUGUCCCUGCCUGAGCAUCGCUGGGGCAUGCAGCAUCCCUGCCUGCUGCCCUGACCCCCCCACUGCAAGGAGAGGUCCCAUCCUCUGACCCAGAUGCCUUGUGCCUGUGUAGAGGUUUAUCCAAGGGGCCAUCCAGAUGGUGAUACCACUGGGAUCCCUCCCAAGGAACCAAGCGCUCAUCUCCUGGCCCUUUGCCUUUUAUACGUGAAAAACCCCACAAGCACAGCAGGGCAAGACACUCAACAUACAACCUUGAUGCAGGAGCUCUGCCAGAACCAAACCCCUGGCUGCUGUGGGAUUUGGAGGUGCCCGCCUGGGGUCUGGUGGUUGCUGCUUCCCGGCUGUGACAGCCGGGGCUUGGCCAGCUCCUGCUGGAGGCACUGCUUCCCUGCCCGUCAUCGCGUGCCCUGGGGCUCGCUGUUAUGUCCUCAGAGCCAUUUGAUCCACGAAAAUCACAGCUGAUCAAAGGGGCAGCUUACGGGAACGCACUGCUGGUGACUUCCUCUGGUGGUGCCAGGGGCUGCGCUGCAGAGGCGAGACGCGAGGGAGGAGGUUGUUAACUGCUCAGCCUCUGCUCCCUCUGACAGCACAGGCAAAGAGAUUUUCCUGAAAAGAUU